UUAUUAGGGAGAAUUGGCUCACAUGAUCACAAGGCCAAGUUCCACGAUAAGCCAUCUGCAAGCUGAGGAAGAAACCAGUAGAGGCUCAGUCGAGUUCAAAAGCCACAGAACCAGGGAAGCCUACAGUGCAGACUUCAGUCUACGCCCGAAGGCCCAAGAGCCCCUGGCAAACCACUGUUGUAAGUCUAAGAGUCCAAAGGCCGAAAAACCUGAAGUUUGAUGUCCAAGGGCAGGAGGAGGGGAAGGAAGCAUCCAGCACGGGAGAAAGAAGAAAACCAGAAGACUCAGCAAUCAAGCUCCACUCUCUACCCUUCAUGCUCUGCGAAGAUGACCCUGUGGACUGCAUCAAUUGGGCCCCAUUGACUUCUGACUUCCAAUGAGAGGCACCAGUAGAAAAUAGCCCCAUUCAUUUUCCUGCUUUCUUUACUGCUUGGAUCAAGAAGGCAGACAUCUUCGAGCCAGGAAGAGGACCUUUUCUGAAAACUCAACCAUGCUGCCAUCCUGAUCUUCAUCUUUCCAGACUAGAGAACUGGGAUAAAUACGAUCUCUGUUGUUAUUGAUCUUCAAUAAACAGAAAAUGGAAACCCUAAAACAGUACCAUUAUCCACUUAGAAUACAGCAGGCUGAAACCAGCAACAAAAUGAAGAUAUAUAUUUCCAGCCUAUAUUUUGAGCAUCGUGGAACUUUCUGGAUGCAGCACAAACCAGGGGGGAGUUACCAUUCUGUAGGAAUUGUGGCCAAUGUGGAUAAAGAACUACCACUGAAAAGAUGGAAGCCUACAGAACAGACCAAAAGAUAAAUGUUCUCUGAGUUUCUAAAAUGCUUAGAUGGGUUUCAUGACUUUUGCACCUUCUGAAACUGAAUUUUCUAUUAAUGAAACCACAAAAAUAAUAUGAUAUUUUUGGGAGUUUAUACUCAAAGUUGGCUAACAAUAAUGAAGUGGAAUGGAGACACUUAGGGACUCUAUUAUAGAUGGCAUGACAGGAAUAGAUAGCAUAAAUAAUUGGUAUCUUUAAACUCCUGAGGCCGACUCUAAACAAUAUCUUUCAUAUCUAUGUUCUCCUUCUUUUAAAUCCAUGUAUUUCAUAAGUCCUGAUAACUUAAAUGAUUGAAUUCCACAAAGGUGUCCUGACUCAGCUCACCCUCUCCUGGAGGUGUUAAUGAACAGUGAAACAGUGACGAAAACAGUAGCAGAGUGAAUAAAGGAGCUGAUGGGAACAAAAGAUUGUGUUUUGUUUAUUUGAUCUUUAAAAUAUAGAGUAUUGAUAUUGUCAUAAUAAAAGCUAAGGCAUAGAAUGCAUUUAAUCCUAUACAUUUUCCACUUGGCUUUCAGUGAUGCAUAAGACUUACUAAGAUUGGCAUACUAUAUAAAGGCCUCAAAAGGAGGUAUGUACUGUGUUAAGUUCUUUGCAUGCAUUAUCUCUAGUCGGUCCUUAAAUGGUGAAGCUGUACAGUGUAGGAAAGAUACAGUAUAAGGUAAUGAUUAAAAACUUACCCUAGAGGCAGAUACCUGGAUUAGAAUCCUAGUUCUUCCACGUAUUUGCUGUAUGAUUUUGAGCAAGCUACUUAAAUUAUAUUCUCUUCAGCAUUUUUUUUUGUAAAGUAGAGGUAAUAAUGUUUAUCAUUCUGGGCAUUUGUAAACUUAAAUAUAUUUUUAAAUAAAGAAUGCUUAAAACAUGCUUACUACAAAAUGAACCCUUAGUAAAUUAUGUACAAAUGUAAUAAGUUGGAUACACUUAAAAGGGUUAAUUAUAAUUCUUAAGUUCUCACAGUUUUAGUGGUGAAAAUGGGCCAAAAACCAAGAUCUGAUUUAAAAGUGAAAGUUCACGUUGAAUGCAUAUCCUAUAUACUGUCACUUUCCUUUCAUCUAAUUAAGUAUUUAGAACAAAUGAUUAUAUUUGCAGAAUACAUCUGUAGAGUAAUGUUUUAAAAGAAACAAAUGCCUCUGCCAUGCUAGUUGACAAAUGAUAUUUUAGCAAGGUGAUGCCUAGAAAAGAUGCUCUAAUAUUUGCAAUAAUCCCAAGGCAGCUUUUAACUCAUAAAUGAAAAUGGCUUUCCUCUGUAGAAAACUUGUCAAGUAACUGAUUAUUAUUAUCUUGUAAAGGCCAGUUGAUGUCUUCCUCAUUCAUAGCCCAACAAUGUUCCAAGGAGGAAGAGGUCAUUUAGAGAGAAACCUGAGACACUAAUCAAGUUGACUACAAGUGACUUUUUUCCUCAACAUCUCUUUCUUCAUGUAUUUUUUUAAAAAAGGUUUUAACUAGAUUAUCACUAAAAUCUGUUACAGGUGUUUUUCCAACUGCAUACCAUUACUAUCAGGGGAGAAAGGAGGGGAGAUGAUGAAAAAGCAUCUAGCUGUUCUGGCAAAAUUACCCAGAUCACAUACCUAACCCAACUUGUGUAUUAUUACUUAAUGUUUAACAAGAGGGAGCAAAGAUGUGUCAAAUUAAUUGUCUAAUAAUAAUCUUACAUAAGACAUAAGAUGACAUAAGACAAAGACUACAUUCAUAAAGGAAAUAAUGAACCCUCAUAUUUAUAAAAAGCUUUAGUUUAAAGUACUAUGUAAUAUGCAAAGACACACAGAGCGGUAUAUUAGACACUGAGACUCAGAAGAGGGGAGCAUGGGAGCAGUUGGAGGGAUCAAAAGCUAUUUAUUGGGUACAAUGUACACUGCUCGGGUGGCAGUUGUACUAAAAUUUCAGACUUUACUGCUAUAUAAUUCAUCCAUGUAACCAAAACCACUUGUAUCCCUAAAACUACUGAAAUAAAAAAU
rnacentral:lncRNA from 1 species